rnacentral:rRNA from 1 species
UACAGAGGGUGCGAGCGUUAAUCGGAAUUACUGGGCGUAAAGCGUGCGUAGACGGUUAUUUAAGUCGGAUGUGAAAUCCCCAGGCUUAACCUGGGAAUUGCAUCCGAUACUGGAUGGCUUGAAUCCGGGAGAGGGAUGCGGAAUUCCAGGUGUAGCGGUGAAAUGCGUAGAUAUCUGGAGGAACACCGGUGGCGAAGGCGGCAUCCUGGACCGGCAUUGACGCUGAGGAGCGAAAGCCAGGGGGAGCAAACGGG